rnacentral:rRNA from 1 species
CCUACGGGAGGCAGCAGUGGGGAAUAUUGCACAAUGGGGGAAACCCUGCUGCAGCGACGCCGCGUGAGCGAUGCAGUAUUUCGGUAUGUAAAGCUCUAUCAGCAGGAAGAAGAUGACGGUACCUGACCAAGAAGCCCCGGCCAACUUCGGUCCAGCAGGCGGGGUAAUUCGGAGGGGGCAAGCGUUAACCGGCAUUUCUGGGUGUAACGGGAGCGGAGACGGCGAUGCAAGCCAGAUGUGAAAGCCCGGGGCGCAACCCCGGGGCUGCAUUUGGAACUGUGUGGCCGGAGUGUCGGAGAGGCAGGCGGAAUUCCUAGUGUAGCGGUGAAAUGCGUAGAUAUUAGGAGGAACACCAGUGGCGAAGGCGGCCUGCUGGACGAUGACUGACGUUGAGGCUCGAAAGCGUGGGGAGCAAACAGGAUUAGAUACCCCAGUAGUC